AACCCCGAGGAUCCAUACCGUGUGGUCUUCCACCCGGUAGAAGUUGACGCCAGGGUCCACUUCCCCUCUCACGUCAACGCUUUGAGGCCUAUAUGUUUUCCUUCGCCGAGGAUGCGGUUGAGCAGAGUGGCCAGGUCUUUGUCCAUUGUGAUGUGGUCAUCUGUGAUGCCAGUAGUCCCACUGGCGGCCCCUGUAGUGGACAAUGUGUGAAUCAGGACAACCU